rnacentral:lncRNA from 1 species
UGGCUUGUGAAUUGUUUCCAUUCUUAUCUAGGGUGGAUUCAUCUCAGCUAAAUCACUGGACUAAGAGUUAGGGAAGGAUUCCUUGCCAAAGCAAAGUCAAGAUGUUCUACCAGAUGAAGGAAGAAUGUAUUGAGGAAGAGCCACCUAUGUUAGCAUUAUCGAUCAUUUCCUCCUGGAGGAUACUGACUUAUGUGCUGG